rnacentral:rRNA from 1 species
UACGUAGGGGGCUAGCGUUGUCCGGAAUCAUUGGGCGUAAAGAGCGUGUAGGCGGCCAGAUAAGUCCGCUGUGAAAUCUCGAGGCUCAACUUCGAGCUGUCGGUGGAAACUGUCUGGCUAGAGUCCGGAAGAGGAGAAUGGAAUUCCUGGUGUAGCGGUGAAAUGCGCAGAUAAUCAGGAGGAACACCGAUGGCGAAGGCAGCUCGCUGGGACGGUACUGACGCUGGAGGCGCGAAGCGUGGGAGCAAACAGG